rnacentral:rRNA from 1 species
GAUUAUGGCUCAGAACGAACGCUGGUGGCGUGUCUAUACAUGCAAGUCGAGCGAGGCAGCAAUGCCGAGCGGCGAACGGGUGAGUAACGCGUAAGCAAUCUGCCCCAUAUCAGGGAAUACCCGUGCCAACGCGCGGUUAAUGUCCAGGAGAGUGGCCUUCUGCAUGGAAGGUUGACUAGAGAUUUAUCGGUAUGGGAUGAGCCUGCGUCCGAUUAGCUAGUUGGCGGGGCAACGGCCCACCAAGGCGACGAUCGGUAGCCGGCCUGAGAGGGUGAUCGGCCACAUUGGGACUGAGAUACGGCCCAGACUCCUACGGGAGGCAGCAGUAGGGAAUAUUGCACAAUGGGGGAAACCCUGAUGCAGCAACGCCACGUGUUGGGAAGAAGCAUUUCGGUGUGUAAACCACUGUCAUGAGGGAAUAAGGCCCUUAUCCGUAAGGGACUUGAAUGUACCUUGAGAGGAAGCACCGGCAAACUUCGUGCCAGCAGCUGC